AUUGAACGCUGGCGGCAUGCUUUACACAUGCAAGUCGAACGGUAACAGGUUAAGCUGACGAGUGGCGAACGGGUGAGUAAUGCAUCGGAACGUGCCCGGUCGUGGGGGAUAACGCAGCGAAAGUUGCGCUAAUACCGCAUACGAUCUGAGGAUGAAAGCGGGGGACCGUAAGGCAUUGCGCGAUCGGAGCGGCCGAUGUCAGAUUAGGUAGUUGGUGGGGUAAAGGCUCACCAAGCCAACGAUCUGUAGCUGGUCUGAGAGGACGACCAGCCACACUGGGACUGAGACACGGCCCAGACUCCUACGGGAGGCAGCAGUGGGGAAUUUUGGACAAUGGGCGAAAGCCUGAUCCAGCAAUGCCGCGUGCAGGAAGAAGGCCUUCGGGUUGUAAACUGCUUUUGUACGGAGCGAAAAGGUCUCCUCUAAUACAGGGGGCUCAUGACGGUACCGUAAGAAUAAGCACCGGCUAACUACGUGCCAGCCGCCGCGGUAA
rnacentral:rRNA from 1 species